UCACAUUGGUCUCAAACCAAUGACAUGCAUUUCGAAGACCACGAGUUCGAGGUGGACGAGGAGGGUGAGGGCAUUGUCGACGCGCCGAAAGGAAGAGCGGGCAAUUACACCAACGCCGAUGACAUCUUACUAUGCAAUACUUGGUUGCAAGUGUCGAGGGAUCCAUCCGUUGGAGGUGAUGAAAGUCGAGAUGCUUAUUGGGGGCGGAUGAAAGAACACUUUGAUGUUCACAACGUGAGUGGACUUGACCGCUCUGAGAGAUCACUUCGGUCCCGAUGGUCGACAAUCAACUCGGAUUGUCAAAGGUGGGCGACCUGUCAAAAGGCGGUUGACAAG
rnacentral:rRNA from 1 species